AUAGUGAGGAUUGACAGUUUGAAAGCACUUUCUUGAUUCUAUGGGUGGUGGUGCAUGGCCGUUCUUAGUUGGUGGAGUGAUUUGUCUGGUUGAUUCCGAUAACGAACGAGACCCGAGCUCUAAAAUAGUACGCGCUUUCUCACGAAAGCGUCGCGACUUCUUUUGAGGACUACCCAGGUUUACUGGGGGGAAGCGUCGGUCAAUAACAGGUCUGUGAUGCCCUUAGAUGUUCUGGGCUGCACGCGCGCUACAAUGAUUGUGUCAACGGGUUUCCUCUCCUUGCCCGGAAGGGCACGGGUAAUCCUUUCAAUCGCAAUCGUGAUGGGGCUAGAUGCUUGUAAUUAUUCAUCUUCAACGAGGAAUUUCUAGUAUGUGCAAGUCAUCAACUUGCGCAGA
rnacentral:rRNA from 1 species